GAUGAACGCUAGCGGGAGGCUUAACACAUGCAAGUCGAGGGGCAGCAUAGGGUAGCAAUACUCUGAUGGCGACCGGCAAACGGGUGAGUAACGCGUAUGUAACCUACCCUGUACAGGGGGAUAACCCGGAGAAAUUCGGACUAAUAUCCCAUAACAAUAUCCGGGGGCAUCUUUGGAUAUUUAAAGUUCCGGCGGUACGGGAUGGGCAUGCGUAACAUUAGCUAGUUGGUAAGGUAACGGCUUACCAAGGCUUUGAUGUUUAGGGGUCCUGAGAGGGUGGUCCCCCACACUGGUACUGAGACACGGACCAGACUCCUACGGGAGGCAGCAGUGAGGAAUAUUGGUCAAUGGGCGCAAGCCUGAACCAGCCAUCCCGCGUGCAGGAAGACGGCGCUAUGCGUUGUAAACUGCUUUUCCAGGGAGAGAAACUUGCGCACGUGUUGCGCAAUUGACGGUACCCUGGGAAUAAGCAUCGGCUAACUCCGUGCCAGCAGCCGCGGUAAACUAGUCU
rnacentral:rRNA from 1 species